GUUUAACCCCUUCCUCUGCUA
rnacentral:tRNA from 1 species